rnacentral:lncRNA from 1 species
UCGUGAUUGAUGAUUUUUCAUCAAAAGUUUAUUAUUUUGCUCAGCAACAAGUAGGCAUGAUAUCAGCUCAGAAUAUCUUUUAAAACCCCGCUCUCGAUACUGCUGCUGCAGGAGCACAUUCGAGGCAUGAAAAGUGGAAUAUGUUUUUUCUAACAUAUCCUGUUCAGUAAUUUUUUCUCCGCAUAAUUUUAACUGAGAGGUAAUUCUGAAUACUGCGGAAUUAUACUCGCUUACAGUUUUAAAAUCCUGCAGUCGUAGGUGAAUCCAUUCGUAGUGGGCUUUUGGAAGGAUCGUAUAUUUCUGAUGAUCAUAUCUCUCUUUCAAAUUUGUCCAAAGGACAUAUGGAUCUUUCAC